UCCUUGGUAGUAUAUCGGUUAGUACACGCGCCUGUCAUUUCUAUUAACGGUGCGCGCGAAAGCGGGGUUCGACUCCCCGCCAGGGAG
rnacentral:tRNA from 1 species